UACCGCUGCUGUUAACCUGACCAUUAUGACAGCCCGGAGCCUCUCGGGAACAGGGAGUAACCGGACCACCGUCCAGGGGCUCUCUGAAUCUGCAGACCCUGGUGAAACAGCGGACCUAUUUCACUAACUCCUGCUUACCAUCAGGAUCUUCAGCUGAAAUUGCUGGAAUGGUCUUGGCUUUCUAGGAACUGAGGCUGGGAGGUUGGAACAAAUUGAGGAAUAAUCAGCUCUGUUGGCGGGAAUUGUCCAAGAGCCGGCGGGAAGGAAUGGGGACGACUUGGGGGAGCCGGCAGCCCUAGGGAACUUGCCUCUCUCCCUGGGCUUCAUCCUGGGGCUGGUUCAGAUUAGCAAUAAAGAAUAACUAAGAGCAGGAAUCAACAACUCCUUCCGGCUCAUCAAACACCCCCCCCCCAAGAGGUCUAGAGGGGCAUCCCAGGAGCACCCCACUGCCCUCUCCCAGCAUGGUGCUCAGCUGACCCCAAUGAUCCGCCCUCGGGGAUCCUUGCUGACUGUUCCAGCCCCAACCCCACCAGCUUGAGAGCAGGGUCCAAGGGGCUUAGGAAGCUGCCCCCAUGGAACAGAGGGAUGCUUGGCUCUGGGACGGAAUCCUGGUGUAUUCCUUCCCCUCUCUGCCCGUCAGAGUCUCUUGUAAAAUAAAUCCACAGAACUAAAAUGACGUUUAAGGGCUCUCUCCACUUUCCUGCCACAUGCAGGU